rnacentral:rRNA from 1 species
UUAUCUGAACCUUCGGGGAACGAUAACGGCGUCNAGCGGCGGACGGGUGAGUAAUGCCUAGGAAAUUGCCCUGAUGUGGGGGAUAACCAUUGGAAACGAUGGCUAAUACCGCAUAAUGCCUACGGGCCAAAGAGGGGGACCUUCGGGCCUCUCGCGUCAGGAUAUGCCUAGGUGGGAUUAGCUAGUUGGUGAGGUAAUGGCUCACCAAGGCGACNAUCCCUAGCUGGUCUGAGAGGAUGAUCAGCCACACUGGAACUGAGACACGGUCCAGACUCCUACGGGAGGCAGCAGUGGGGAAUAUUGCACAAUGGGCGCAAGCCUGAUGCAGCCNUGCCGCGUGUGUGAAGAAGGCCUUCGGGUUGUAAAGCACUUUCAGUCGUGAGGAAGGUGGUGUAGUUAAUAGCUGCAUUAUUUGACGUUAGCGACAGAANAAGCACCGGCUAACUCCGUGCCAGCAGCCGCGGUAAUACGGAGGGUGCGAGCGUUAAUCGGAAUUACUGGGCGUAAAGCGCAUGCAGGUGGUUUGUUAAGUCANAUGUGAAAGCCCGGGGCUCAACCUCGGAAUAGCAUUUGAAACUGGC